GGGGUUUCACCAUGUUGGCCAGGCUGAUCUUGAACUCCUGACCUCGUGAUCUGCCCACCUUGGCCUCCCAAAGUGCUGGGAUUACAGGCAUGAGCCACCGCACCCAGUUAAUUUUUGUAUUUUUAGUAGACAUAGGGUUUCACCAUGUUGGCCAGGAUGGUCUCAGUCUCCUGACCUUGUGAUCUGCCUGCCUCAGCCUCCCAAAGUGCUGGAAUUACAGGUGUGAGCCACGCCCGGCCUAUUAUUAUUAUUUUUGAGAUGGAGUUUCGCUCUUGUUGCCCAGGCUGGAGUGCAAUGGUGCAAUCUCAGCUCACUGCAACUUCUGCCUCCCGAGUUCAAGCGAUUCUCCUGCCACAGCCUCCCAGGUAGCUGGGAUUACAGGCAUGCACCACCACGUCCCGCUAAUUUUGUAUUUUUAGUAGUACAGACGGGGUUUCUCCAUGCUGGUCAGGCUGGUCUCAAACUCCUGAUGUCAGGUGAUCCGCCUGCCUCAGCCUCCCAAAAUGCUAGGAUUACAGGCGUGAACCACCGUGCCCAGCCUGCUCAGCUAAUUUAAAAUUUUUUUUUUGCAGAGAUGAGGUCUCACUGUAUUGCCUAGGCUGGCCUCAAACUCCCAGACUCAAGUGAUUCACCCGCCUCAGUCUCCCAAAGUGCUGGGUUACAAGCGUGAGCCACGGUGUUCAGCUUGCUUUAUUUUCUUGUCAUAGUGCCUACUACUACUUGAUUUUCAGGAAGUCCUCUCCACAUCCCAUGCCAUGAGGAAUCAAAGCCCUAUCUGUGCUGAGGGCAAGGGUUCUACGGGGCCAUUUACUUCCUGAUCUUUCCAAGCAAGACAUAGUUAGUUUAGUCUGCAGUUUGAAGGAUUUAGGCUAGACAGUGUCUCUGCUCUCCCAGAUAUUACAACAAUGAGCACACUGUCAUCAUUGUCUAUCCCAUCCUCAUCACACUAAGUUAAUGAAUAAUGUCUGAUUCAACUGUCUUCCCAGGGCCGGGCAUUGCGUCUGGGCAUAGGAAAUGAUGAAUAAAUGACUGCUGAGAAUGAAUGGAUGAAUGUAAUCCAUCCAUUCACUCAACAAAUAUUUAUAACUAUGACAUACCAGGCACUUUUAGAGUGCUGGACAUACAAAGUGACAAAGUCUCUAACUGCUUGUUUCUUACAUUUUAGAUGGAGAGACAAUUAACAAGUUACUAUAUAACUGUUGGGAGAACCAGUUCGCAAUGGGCCCUGGGCGUCCCUGCAUGUUCUUGCUGGGUAUGCCAAGAAAGCAAGACCCCGACAGCUCUGUACCCAGGCUGCGUUUGCAGCAAGGAACCUUGAAAGAUGAGCUAAAGUCUCCCACCCGACAAAGAACAGCAUGCUCACCACUCGCUAUAAAAGCAGUAAAUUGGCAGGGCCUGCAGAUGUGCAUCGGUAGUCCCAGCUAUUCAGGAGGCUGAAGCAGGAGGACUGCUUGAGGCCAGUAGUUUAAGAGCCGCCCGGGCAACAUGGCCAGAUCCGCUUGGUGGCACUUGCCUGUAGUUCCAGCUACUCAGGAGGCUAAGCCAGGAAGAUUACUUGAGCCCA
rnacentral:lncRNA from 1 species